AAGCUCAUUGCUAAUUUACGUUUUUAAAUACAAUUUUAGUAUACGUUUUCAUAUAAAUUCCUUGUCUGACUUAAGUAUCGGAGGGGCGACAAGAACACACAUCGUUGCCUUUGUUUCAUAUACCGAAAGACUCUGUUUGUGCUCUUUCUCAGUCCUCAAGUUCGAGAGAUCUACCAGGUACAAUUUUUGGUAGCAUCAACUACCAUUAGAACCCCUAACCUUUGCAGACCAAUGCUGUAAAAUAAAAAAAUAUUUAUAGUUCAUUCUCUCAUUAUUGUCUUUAUGGCUUUCAAAGUAUUUCAACACACUUCUAAAUAUAACUAUAAAUACAUAAUUCCUUAAGUGACAACAGGCUAAGUAAUGUAAACCCAAAAGUUAGAAACCUUCAGCAUUGAUUGCAAAAUGCACAAUAUGCUAAUUUAAACAUUAGAACAUAUUUUUUUAUAGGCAAUAAUUGCAUGAGAAAUCUCCUUAAUCUACCCUCUAAUCUUCAGUCGAAGAGGUCUGUAUCAGUAGUAAAGUGGCACAACCUUCUAUCCAGGAGGUCAAUAUCAAGUUUUCGUUUCGCGCAUUUCAAAUCACGGUUGGAUCGUAUGCAGUUUCUGAUUAACUUCUUCAAGCAGCGACAAGUACCAACAAGUUGGAUUACAAUUUUCUCCCGGCUGGAUUUAGGGGGCCUUCAAUUGUAGGGUGAAUUCGAAUUGGGGUUUAGGGCAUUCAUGGAUUUGGGGUGAGAUUUGGGGGAGUUCAAUUUGAGCCUGAGAUUUUGAGAUAAAGUAG
rnacentral:lncRNA from 1 species